CAAUGGUUAAACAGAGCGAGAUAACAGCUAAAACAUCACACGAUGAAAUAGAUUGUACUUGAGAUACGGAUAUCAUAGGUCAGAAGUUAAAAAAAAAACCAUACUCCUUAACUGCUGCUCCGGCAAUCGAAACCUUGCAGACUUCGCAAGCCACCCAAGUUAGGCAAGGCAAGCUAUUGCAAUGGUCAUCACAAACAGCGAACGGCAAAGCUGAACAGUCGAAAGACCCAUUCCUAAUUCUACUUACAUAGAGGCUCAGUGCUACGGUGGUCCAGGCGAUUUCGAAGCAUAGAUAUACGACCGUCGUCGGCAUUUGGCAAGGAGAAUUGGGUGAGGAGUCGGCGAGGAAAGGAAAAUGAAGCAUUUCCCGCGUUGCAAGAAACGGUAAAAAUAAAAGAGCGAGCAAGAGAGAGGGACAGAAGAUUGGCUAAGGAAGAUAAUCGUCGAAACUUCUCUUAGCCAUCUGCCUGGUCAACCUGUGAACGGAUGAAAGAGAAGAGGCUGAAAGGUCCCUUGGAAUGGACUGUACCAGCGAAUGGGAAUGAUUCGAAGUCAGCUUGUAAGGAAGUUGGAAGGAGCAAGUAUCCAAAUCAACAAACCAUAAAAUCUUGCGGAUUUGUCCUAUUUAUGCGAAGACUACCUGGAAGACGUCCAAUAUUAUUUCUCGUUCGUUGACACUACCUAAUGGUGCAACUGCCGUCCCCCUCAAACGUUUGCUGACUUCUGCAUUAUCCACGCUCGGACUACUCUUCCCCAACUGUCUUUACCCUGUGUUUUUCCUUCUUCUCUUCCGCGAUACCUCGAAUGGACUUGCGUAGCGAUACGAAACAGCGGGCACCGUCUAGACUACAGUCCUGUCCUUUGGUCUAGUGGUUACGAGUCUGUGGUUCGAGUUCUGCCUUCUACUAAGGCGUUGGCUAUAACCAGCCACGUAAGACUUGUUUCCCACUUCUGGUUACCCGUUACCCACCUGACGUUUGUCCCUCCGUCAGGAUGCCACUAACUUCAGGCCACCCUUACAUACAUUCCUCUCCCUGUCCUAUGCUCUCGGAUUUUCCCUUUUUUUCGUUUACAGACGUCCUUUGUAGCACGGUAUAUCACUCUGGGCGGUCUUUUGUGCUUUACUAACGUUCAUGUUUAUGGGGUUGGGGUUGCAUUGAUUCCUUGAGCAGUUCUACGGUGUCCGCAUGUUUUUCGUUGUUGUCAGAUGGCCAGGUUGUUCGCUAUUCUGACUUCACUGAACGAACCCACAACGGUGGUGGCCGGCCAAUGACAAUGGAUCGGUAGGCUACUACAGCCUGCAAGCUCCAAGGUCUACCCUUGUAGGCUCAACGGCUUACGGCCUCUAUAAAGUGCUGGCGAGCUUGAGUCGAGCAUGUUGAUGUGGAUAACCCUGCAACCACGCACGCAAACAUACGCUACGUUCCCUGCCUGCCUGUUUUGCUAAACGUAACAACAUAUAGAGUGAACUGUUAUAAGUUGGGCGGAAUCGGACCAUAACUUCUGUAUGUGCACUUCCCAUGAAAGCCUGAUCACAUGGCACAAUCAUCGAA